rnacentral:rRNA from 1 species
UACGGAGGGUGCAAGCGUUGUCCGGAAUCACUGGGCGUAAAGGGCGCGUAGGCGGCUCGGUAAGUAGGGGGUGAAAUCCUGCGGCUCAACCGCAGGGCUGCCUUCUAAACUGUCGAGCUGGAGCACUGUAGAGGCAGGUGGAAUUCCGGGUGUAGCGGUGGAAUGCGUAGAGAUCCGGAAGAACACCGGUGGCGAAGGCGGCCUGCUGGGCAGUGGCUGACGCUGAGGCGCGACAGCGUGGGGAGCAAACAGG